rnacentral:lncRNA from 1 species
AAGAAAUUUAACAAAAAGAUCUCCUGGAUCAACUGAAAAUAGUUCUCGUUGUCGAUUAUAUAAUGGUGUACAAGAUCAGAUACAUUGUAACAAUCUCUUCAACAAAACAAAUCAAAGAAUUUUGAAUAACACGGAGUUGAUUCAUGGCGAGAGACUGCCGCAUGUUGAUGAUUUUCCUUUAAUAUUUGAUCUGCCGAUCGAGUGCCGUCCUUGUGAACGACGUUCAAGAAUGUAAUUUCCGAAACACAGAAAUCAUUAGUAAAAGAUUCACGAUCCAAGCGAUGCCCUGAAGUUUUUCUAUCCGUUGCCAGAUCUUCGGCAAAUGUUGCUGCAGUUGAAAGUCGAAGGCGCAGUUUGGCUUUUACACUGACUUUGUCAAUGUGUCCUCCUCGAGUGAUGAAACUAGAUCUGCUACACCUUUACCCAUGUCAACAGACGUAAGUCAAUUGUUUAUGAAUAU